CAGGGAGCCUGCAGGUGACUCAGCCCCUCACCAUUUCCUGGAGCAGAAAUGAGGCAUCUGUCCAGAGCAGCUCCGGGGCGGUGGGCACGUUUGCCUCUGCAUGCCGAGUGGAUUCCCCGAAGUGGUGGCCAGCUACAGAGCAGGCAGUGAGUGAGCUCCUGGCGGCGUGGGGCGCGAAUCUUCCCCUCUCUCCCCUUCAGUGGGGGACCCAGCCGUCCCUUCAGACCCUCCCCUCCUGCCUGGCCCAGGGGUCUCCUUCUGGCACAUUCCCUUCCCACCCUGGGACCACCCCCUUCAGCACCCAUGCUGCCCGAUUUCAGAGUCCUUCUCCUGACCCUGCGUGUCCACCCUAGCAUCCCCGCCACUCACCAGCCCCCGGGGGCACACUCCGCGGGCCGGCGAGGUGCUCCACCGUCCUGGGCUGGGCAGCAUGCGGCUGGCCUGCCCACCGCCAGGCUCUGGACACCUCCCUUGCAUCUCAUCUCGUCUCCUGGUUGUGAAAACCGUACUUGGGAGCCAAGUGGACGUGGUGGUUACACAACACUGGAAUGUUCUAAAUGCCA